AGUGAACGCUGGCGGUAGGCCUAACACAUGCAAGUCGAACGGCAGCACAGUAAGAGCUUGCUCUUACGGGUGGCGAGUGGCGGACGUGUGAGGAAUACAUCGGAAUCUACUUUUUCGUGGGUGAUAACGUAGGGAAACUUACGCUAAUACCGCAUACGACCUACGGGUGAAAGCAGGGGAUCUUCGGACCUUGCGCGUUUGAAUGAGCCGAUGUCGGAUUAGCUAGUUGGCGGGGUAAAGGCCCACCAAGGCGACGAUCCGUAGCUGGUCUGAGAGGAUGAUCAGCCACACUGGAACUGAGACACGGUCCAGACUCCUACGGGAGGCAGCAGUGGGGAAUAUUGGACAAUGGGCGCAAGCCUGAUACAGCAAUACCGCGUGGGUGAAGAAGGCCUUCGGGUUGUAAAGCCCUUUUGUUGGGAAAGAAAAGCAGCAGGUUAAUACCCAGAUGUUCUGACGGUACCCAAAGAAUAAGCACCGGCUAACUUCGUG
rnacentral:rRNA from 1 species